rnacentral:rRNA from 1 species
GACGAACGCUGGCGGCGUGCUUAACACAUGCAAGUCGAACGGUGAACCUCUUCGGAGGGGAUCAGUGGCGAACGGGUGAGUAACACGUGGGCAACCUGCCCCCGGCUCUGGGAUAACUCCAAGAAAUUGGGGCUAAUACCGGAUGUUCACCGCUUCCCGCAUGGGUGGUGGUGGAAAGGGUUUCCGGCUGGGGAUGGGCCCGCGGCCUAUCAGCUUGUUGGUGGGGUAGUGGCCUACCAAGGCGACGACGGGUAGCCGGCCUGAGAGGGUGACCGGCCACACUGGGACUGAGACACGGCCCAGACUCCUACGGGAGGCAGCAGUGGGGAAUAUUGCGCAAUGGGCGGAAGCCUGACGCAGCGACGCCGCGUGGGGGAUGACGGCCUUCGGGUUGUAAACCUCUUUCAGCAGGGACGAAGCGCAAGUGACGGUACCUGCAGAAGAAGCGCCGGCCAACUACGUG